rnacentral:rRNA from 1 species
CCUACGGGAGGCAGCAGUGAGGAAUAUUGGUCCAUGGACGGAAGUCUGAACCAGCCAUGCCGCGUGCAGGAAGACGGCUCUAUGAGUUGUCAGCUGCUUUUGUACAAGGGUACACCUGAAUACGUGUAUUCAGCUGAAAGGACUGUCCGACUAAGGAUCUUCUAACUCCGUGCCCGCAGCCGCGGUAAUCCGGAGGAUCCAAUCGUUAUCCGGAUUUCUUUGGUUUAAAGGGUGCGUAGGCGGAUUGAUAAGUUAGAGGGGAAAUGUCCGAGCUUAACUCGGGAACUGCCUCUAAUACUGUUGAUCUAGAGUGUAGAUGAGGUAGGCGGAAUGUAUGGUGUAGCGGUGAAAUGCUUAGAGAUCAUACAGAACACCGAUUGCGAAGGCAGCUUACCAAUCUAUAUCUGACGUUGAGGCACGAAAGCGUGGGGAGCAAACAGGAUUAGAUACCCCAGUAGUC